rnacentral:misc_RNA from 1 species
CUCCUUUUUUUUUUUUUUGUGAAAGACUAAUUGAGAAAUAAAAUGAGACAUGACAAAAUCAAAUCCAAAAACAAUUGAAACCUGCAUGAACAACAGAGGCAGCACAACUAUAUCAUAUAGAUUUUCAGCAACGACAUGAUCAUGUAAACUAAAGCAUGCCAAUCUAGGUGUCUUCACUCAUUGAACACACAAAUUUAAAAAUAGAAAGAGAACAGGGGCAGCAUAGUUAACAUAAUAAUAACUCAGGCAUAAUCAGAAGAAACUAUAUAGCUAACCACACCAGAGCAAAAAUACAUGCGAAGGACAGCACAGCAGACCAUGCAAAUCUCUAAUUGAUGACAGGGGCCAGCAACAAAAGGAAAAGCAAUAACUGAAGCACCCAAAAAAUAGCAAGAGCAGCAGAAUCAAAGGGAUACCCCAGAGAAGCUCAAGACUAAAGUACUACAAAAAAAAUAAAUAAAUAACAACUAAAAUACCAAUAAACCCAAAGCGAAAAAAGGACCAAAAAUAGGAACAAACGGAAAAUAAUAUGACCCAAAAUUUAAAGCUAAUACCAAGACAUAAAAGAAAGAAAGCAUGAACUCCAAAAGCAAAUAACCUCUGAAAGCACUUGGUUCUUGCAGCAGCAAAAGCAUAUUAGAUCACUUGUCAUGUCUCCUAAAACCAUAGUCAACAAAAUAUGCUUCCUGUACGGGCAGCAUUAUUUCAAGAAGCCCAAAUUUCCAUAAUAACCUCAAAGAAGCUUCAGCAGAACCACAUGCUAGCAUGUAGUUCAUUUCCAUCAGAAGCCUUCCCUUGGAUAUUUUGGUGCUGGAGGUAAGUUAGCUAGGAUACAUUCAAAGGUAAAUUGAAUGUAUGAAUAACUUGAGGGGAGUAAGAAUGAGCUGCUCGAAUUCCUUAUCAAGCCUCAAAAUCGAGCGAGCAAAAAAUUUUUAGCAAAAUGAGCUGUUUUUUUUGAAAAGCAGAUCCUAAAUGGGCAGCGAGGAUAACCUUUGAACAAAAUUCAAUCAGCAAACAAAAUACACUAAAUCACAAUACAACAGAAGGCAAGAACAGCACCCAAAAAACAUAAACAAUAUGAGAAAUUAUUAAAUCAAUUAAUGCAAAAUCAAGACACAAUUAAAUCAAAUAAAGCAAUAUCACAAACAUGCAAUGUAAACCAACAUAAUAAGAAGGGAACAAAAAAUUUAAAUUUGAAAUGUGAAUAAAAUUACCAAGAGUUGAGCUAACAGAACACAAACCCAUUCUAAACAAAACAAAAAAUCACAUGAUAAUAAACAUAUAUGUAUAUAUAUAUAUAUAU